rnacentral:rRNA from 1 species
AGGACGAACGCUGGCGGCGUGCUUAACACAUGCAAGUCGAGCGGAAAGGCCCUUCGGGGUACUCGAGCGGCGAACGGGUGAGUAACACGUGAGUAAUCUGCCCCUAGCUCUGGGAUAGCUCCGGGAAACCGGGAUUAAUACCGGAUACGACCACCUUAGACAUCUUUUGUGGUGGAAAGAAUUUCGGCUAGGGAUGAGCUCGCGGCCUAUCAGCUUGUUGGUGGGGUAACGGCCUACCAAGGCGACGACGGGUAGCCGGCCUGAGAGGGCGACCGGCCACACUGGGACUGAGACACGGCCCAGACUCCUACGGGAGGCAGCAGUGGGGAAUAUUGCGCAAUGGGCGAAAGCCUGACGCAGCGACGCCGCGUGGGGAUGAAGGCCUUCGGGUUGUAACCCCUUUCAGCAGGGACGAAGCGAAGUGACGGUACCUGCAGAAGAAGCGCCGGCUAACUACGCGCCAGCAGCCGC